rnacentral:rRNA from 1 species
AUGCCUCUGGAGUUCAUGAAGCAUUUCCCCGCCAUCCCUACAGAGUUCAAACUGAAGACGAACACUGGCUGCGCAUGGAGGGUGACGGUGAAGGUGAUCAACAGUGUCACCCUUGAUCAGGGUUGGGCCACCUUCGCCGCCGUUCGUGAGAGCAUGCGGUACAUGCUGACGUUCAAGCUACCGACCCCCAACACCGUGAAAUUGAUCGUAUUCAACGACGAGGGUGUGGAGGUGGCCACCAAGUGCAAGGAGCGCGAUAACACUGUCAAACUUGCCUAA